AGAGUUUGAUCUGGCUCAGAAUCAACGCUGGCGGCAUGCCUAACACAUGCAAGUCGAACGCGAAAGGGUCCUUCGGGAUCUGAGUAGAGUGGCGUCCGGGUGAGUAACGCGUAGAUCAUCUACCUUCGGGUGGGGAAUAACUCAGGGAAACUUGAGCUAAUACCGCAUAACAUUGAAAGAUCAAAGCAGGGGAUCGCAAGACCUUGCGCCUGAAGAGGAGUCUGCGUCUGAUUAGCUAGUUGGUAAGGUAAUGGCUUACCAAGGCUUCGAUCAGUAGCUGGUCUGAGAGGACGGCCAGCCACAUUGGCACUGAAACACGGGCCAAACUCCAACGGGAGGCAGCAGUGGGGAAUUUUGGGCAAUGGGCGAAAGCCUGACCCAGCAAUGCCGCGUGAACGAUGAAGUCCUUCGGGAUGUAAAGUUCGGAAGUAAGGAACGAAAAGCUAUAGGAUAAUACCCUGUAGUGCUGACGGUACCUUAUCUAAGCCCCGGCUAACUACGUGCCAGCAGCCGCGGUA
rnacentral:rRNA from 1 species